AAAAGUGUAUACAAAAAGGAUUUUCCAAAGGCAGCCCAUAUAUUGUCCAUCGAUCAUUGAACAUCAUUUCAUAUUCUUCUUCAAUCUUAUAAUAUUUGUCUGAUCAAAUUCUAUGCCAAAAUCUUGGUAUUAUAGUUAUAAGUAUGACACUACAUUUCCAAUUUUAGAGUUUCUAUUUCUUGUCUUUUUUCAAUAUUUUCUGAUAGAAUUAUUUUAAUGUUUUUAGAUAUUAUGGCUUGGUGCGAAUGGACUUUUCACAUGAAUAGAUAUUGAAGAAGUCUGUGAUAAUGAUGCAGUUCAAGAUUUGGCUGUGGAAAUUAGAGUAUUACCCUCUUAGUGACAUAUAUUAUACAAUGUAAAACUCUAAAUAAUUAGAUAAUAUAAUAAGGAUAUAAUUUCUUCCACUGUUUUUUGAAUCUUUAUUUACUUUCUGUAUUGCCUUUUCAUUUCUUUGAUUAAUUUUCUUUCUUAGUUUGUUGUUGUCAAGGAGUUGUAUUUGGAAAAUUUCUAAUUCUUUGUGUCGAAGUCGAAAUAGUGAUUUUGUAUUUGACUGAGAGUUAAAAUUAAUUUGUAUAGAAUAGAGUCUAUUCGAUAGAAAGUCAAAUAUAAUAUGUCGAAACUUAUAGUGGAAGCAUCUAAUUAUCGAAGUAAUCGACAGAGUCGAAAUAGUUAAUUUAGCUUUGUUGUAGUUGAGUUAGUUAUUUUUUAAUUACUUGGAGUGUAAGUAAUCUCUUCUAUAAAUAGAGAGUAUUUCGUUUGUAAUGUAACUAAGUGAAAUAUACAACUUUGUAAUAGUUUUGUGUAGUUUCUGAAAACACAGUUGU
rnacentral:lncRNA from 1 species